GAGUUUGAUCCUGGCUCAGAUUGAACGCUGGCGGCAUGCCUUACACAUGCAAGUCGAACGGCAGCACGGGAGCUUGCUCCUGGUGGGCGAGUGGCGAACGGGUAAGUAAUGCAUCGGAACGUAUCCUGGAGUGGGGGAUAACGUAGCGAAAGUUACGCUAAUACCGCAUAUUCUGUGAGCAGGAAAGCGGGGGACCUUCGGGCCUCGCGCUCUUGGAGCGGCCGAUGUCGGAUUAGCUAGUUGGUGAGGUAAAGGCUCACCAAGGCGACGAUCCGUAGCAGGUCUGAGAGGAUGAUCUGCCACACUGGAACUGAGACACGGUCCAGACUCCUACGGGAGGCAGCAGUGGGGAAUUUUGGACAAUGGGGGCAGCCCUGAUCCAGCCAUGCCGCGUGAGUGAAGAAGGCCCUCGGGUUGUAAAGCUCUUUCGCGAGGGAAGAAAUUGCACCGGACAAUACCUGGUGUAGAUGACGGUACCUUGAUAAGAAGCACCGGCUAACUACGUGACACG
rnacentral:rRNA from 1 species